rnacentral:rRNA from 1 species
AUCUCGUGGAGGCCCGAACCGGUUGAUGUUGCAAAAUCUUCGGAUGAGCUGUGGAUAGGAGUGAAAGGCUAAUCAAGCUCGGAAAUAGCUGGUUCUCCCCGAAAUAUAUUGAGGUAUAGCCUCGUGGAUUGCUAUCGGAGGUAGAGCGCUGGAUGGGCUAGGGGUCUUACCAGACUACCAACCCCAACUAAACUUCGAAUACCGAUAAGUAUGACCACGGGAGUCAGACUAUGGGAGAUAAGUUCCAUGGUCGAAAGGGAAAAAGCCCAGAUCCUCAGCUAAGGUCCCUAAAUAUGUGCUAAGUGGAAAAGGUUGUGAGACUGCAGAGACACCCAGGAGGUUGGCUUAGAAGCAGCCACCCUUUAAAGAAAGCGUAACAGCUCACUGGUCUAGUGGUCUUGCGCCGAAGAUACAACGGGGCUAAGCACAUUACCGAAGCUAGGAAAUGUACUUUGUACAUUGGUAGGGGAGCGUUCUGUUAACCUGUGAAGGUAGACCGUGAGGACUGCUGGAGGAAGCAGAAGUGAAUAUGCUGGCAUUAGUAACGUUAAAACAGGUGAGAACCCUGUUCGCCGAAAUCCCAAGGUUUCCUGGGGAAGGGUAAUCCGCCCAGGGUUAGUCGGGUCCUAAGAUCAGGCCGAAAGGCGUAGUCGAUGGAAAACAGGUUAAUAUUCCUGUACCAAUAUUUUAGCACUUGAGUGAUGGGGGGACGGAGAAGGAUAGGUCUGCCUAGUGAUGGAUAUCUAGGUGUAAACUGGUAGGAUGUGAGUUAGGUAAAUCCGGCUUGCACAAAGUCCGAGAAGUGAUGCGGAGAGGAUUUAUCCUCGAAGAGAUUGAUUCCAUGCUUCCAAGAAAAGCCUCUAAACGAGUUAAAGUAUUGCCCGUACCCCAAACCGACGCUGGUGGGAUGGUUGAAUAUACUAAGGCGUGCGAGAUAACUCUUGUUAAGGAACUCUGCAAAAUGAUGCCGUAAGUUCGCGAGAAGGCAUACCAUCAUUAUGUGAAAUCCCUGCGGAUGGAGCAGAAGGUGGUCGCAGAUAAAUGGCAGCGGCGACUGUUUAUCAAAAACACAGGACUCUGCAAAAUCGUAAGAUGACGUAUAGGGUCUGACGCCUGCCCGGUGCCGGAAGGUUAAGAGGAAGGGUUAGCUUUCGAGCGAAGCUCUGAAUUGAAGCCCCGGUAAACGGCGGCCGUAACUAUGACGGUCCUAAGGUAGCGAAAUUCCUUGUCGGGUAAGUUCCGACCUGCAUGAAUG